AGAAAAUUUAAAAAUAUAGUUAAAAAAAAAAAACAUCGCCUCCCUCGAGCCCUAAGUGAGUGGAUACAGGGCCAGACUGACAACUUCUGAGGCUCUAAGUCGGGCGUCCAUGCGCUUCCCCUGAGCGUGUCCUCAGGACAGGGCCGGUCACCCGCAGGCCGCACAGAGCUGAGGGCAAGCUGCCUGCAGCACGGCGCCGCGGGGUUCUGGGUGUCGGAGGAAGACACGCUGCUGAGAGGAGCCUUCCUUCCGACGCAGGCCGCUUAUCUCCACCUUUGGAAAUCUUUUCAAUGAUGUUUUGUGGCUUCCAGGUGCUCAUUUUACACUGCUGUUAAACUUCUCCUCAGACUGGUCCGUCUCCCCGAAGCCGUGGUGCGGGACUGCCUUAGUUCCCUCUGUGGGAAGUGGCUGGACGCCUCCUCCGUCUGCUGAUGGCUCAUAGGUCUACUGAGAUCUAUUUCUUCUGGAGUCCGUUUCAGUCAUACAUUCUGAGAUCGGACCCAGGUUCCACACAUGCUAACCAAGCGCUGUACCACAGAGCACAGCCCAGGCCUUUGCCAAGGAGGAGGAGACGGCCCACAGGCGUGCGGAGAGAGAGACGGAUCGGCACACGUGCGACAGAGAUGGACGAGCAGCUGCGUGGGCUCAGCGGGCAGACGGGGCGGGCGAGCUGGGGACAACUCGGGCUCUGCGUGUCUGACCGACACCGCGGGGCUGCGGCUCGCCCACCCCGUCCUGACACACAGCGACACACAGCGCGCUGGCGGGAUGCCGUAUGUGUAAGGAAGGUUUUGGAACUUACCACUCUCUUUUCCCUGAAAUCAAUGCCCACCGUGGUGAUAAAUUUGGAAUUAAAUUUACCAUCUGUGUA